rnacentral:rRNA from 1 species
UACGUAGGGGGCAAGCGUUACCCGGAUUCACUGGGCGUAAAGCGCGUGUAGGCGGCUGGCCAAGCGUGGUGUGAAAUCUCCGGGCUCACCCGGAAACUGCACUGCGAACUGGCCUGGCUGGAGUGCAGGAGAGGGAUGCGGAAUUCACGGUGUAGCGGUGAAAUGCGUAGAUAUCGUGAGGAACACCAGUGGCGAAGGCGGCAUCCUGGCCUGUAACUGACGCUGAGACGCGAAAGCGUGGGGAGCGAACCGG